GAUCUUGCGACAAUGGGCGAAAGCCUGGCGCAGCAACGCCGCGUGCGGGAGGACGGCCUUCGGGUUGUAAACCGCUUUUCGGGGGGAAGAGGAAGGACGGUACCCCCGGAAGAAGUCUCGGCUAACUACGUGCCAGCAGCCGCGGUAAUACGUAGGGUGCAAGCGUUAAUCGGAAUUACUGGGCGGAAAGCGUGCGCAGGCGGUUCGGCAAAAAGGAUGUGAAAUCCCAGGGCUUAACCUUGGAACUGCCUUCUUAACUGCCGGGCUAGAGUAUGUCAGAGGGGGGUAGAAUUCCGCGUGUAGCAGUGAAAUGCGUAGAGAUGCGGAGGAAUACCGAUGGCGAAGGCAGCCCCCUGGGAUAAUACUGACGCUCAUGCACGAAAGCGUGGGGAGCAAACAGG
rnacentral:rRNA from 1 species